rnacentral:snoRNA from 14 species
GUGAGGACUUGGGUUUCUUACAAAGCCCAGUUAUACACAGUGUCCCAUGCUAGAGCAAACUGUGCUCCUAACCAUUGCAGGCCCCUGUGCCUGUGGGCUGCUGGCACUGAAGUGGGUCACUGGGUC